CUCUCUCUCUCUCUCUCUCUCUGUUUCAGAGAAAUUUAAAACCCUAAAAACUACAACAACAGAGUUAAAUCUUUCAAAAAUUUGAACAAAAAAGAAGAAGAAAAUGAAGAGCAAGAAGCCAUUGCAGCAACUCAAGCUCUCCGUUCCGGCUCAAGAAAUCCCCAUUACCUCUUUCUUGACUGCAAGUGGUACAUUUCACGAUGGAGAUUUGCUUUUGAAUCAGAAAGGCCUGCGGCUUAUCUCUGAAGAGAAGGAAUCUCGUCCUUCAGAUAACAAGGAGCUUGAUUUUGAUUUCUCAUUGGAAGACCUUGAGACAGUCAAAGUCAUUGGAAAGGGGAGCGGAGGUGUAGUGCAACUUGUUCGUCAUAAAUGGGUUGGGACAUUAUUUGCAUUGAAGGUCAUCCAGAUGAACAUACAAGAGGAUAUUCGUAAACAAAUUGUACAGGAGCUGAAAAUAAACCAAGCCUCCCAAUGUUCUCACGUUGUUGUUUGCCACCACUCAUUCUAUCACAAUGGAGCUAUUUCUCUUGUACUAGAAUACAUGGAUCGUGGAUCUCUGGCAGAUGUGAUUAGACAAGUUAAAACAAUUCUCGAACCUUACCUGGCUGUUGUGUGCAAGCAGGUUUUACAGGGUCUCGUGUAUCUACACCAUGAGCGACAUGUCAUACAUAGGGACAUUAAACCAUCCAAUCUAUUGGUAAACCAUAAAGGGGAAGUGAAGAUCACUGAUUUUGGUGUGAGUGCAAUGCUAGCUAGUUCUAUGGGUCAAAGGGACACAUUUGUUGGAACUUACAAUUACAUGUCGCCAGAGCGAAUUAGUGGGAGCACCUAUGACUACAGCAGUGAUAUUUGGAGUUUAGGGUUGGUAGUACUUGAGUGUGCUAUAGGGCGUUUUCCUUAUAUGCAAUCUGAAGAUCAGCAAAACUGGCCAAGCUUUUAUGAGCUCUUGGAGGCCAUUGUGGAGAGCCCACCUCCAUCUGCUCCACCAGAUCAAUUCUCCCCCGAGUUCUGUUCAUUUGUCUCAUCUUGUAUACAGAAGAAUCCUCGAGAAAGGGCAUCAUCUUUGGACCUUUUGAAUCACCCAUUUAUCAAAAAGUUUGAAGACAAAGACAUUGAUCUUGGAAUUCUAGUUGGCAGCUUGGAACCUCCUGUGAACUACCCUAGGUAGUUUGUCUUGUGAUGUUUAUGUUGAACCUGAGCCAGGUUGGCUUGUCUUAUAAUGCUGUAUCGACUUAUCUAGUAUAAAGUGUUCACAUCAGGUCUUGGCUGUUAAUCUUUAUCAAACAUUACAGAAAUUACCAUGUACUAUGAAGGCAAGAUCCAUAUAAGUAAAUAAUUUGCUUCAAG
rnacentral:misc_RNA from 1 species